rnacentral:lncRNA from 1 species
CCCUAUUUUUGACAUUUUUACUUAUUGUGUCUGUUUGUUUUGUUCACGCAUCGUUGACAAUGUAAUGGAAUUUGAUGCGACUGUCAUACAAGUGAGAGGUUUAGCUAGCUAUAAAACCAGGUUCAAUCCACCAUUUUCUACAUAAGAAAAUGCCUGUACCAAGUCAGGAAUAUGACAGUUGUUAUCCAUUCGUUUGAUGUGUUUGAACUUUUGAUUUUGCCAUUUGAUUUGGGACUUUCCUUUUUG